rnacentral:rRNA from 1 species
GGACCCGACUGCUAUCGGAUUGAUACUAAGCCAUGCGAGUCAUUGUAGCAAUACAAGGCAUACGGCUCAGUAACGCGUAGUCAACCUAACCUAUGGACGGGAAUAACCUCGGGAAACUGAGAAUAAUGCCCGAUAGAACAUUAUGCCUGGAAUGGUUUAUGUUCCAAAUGAUUUAUCGCCGUAGGAUGGGACUGCGGCCUAUCAGUUUGUUGGUGAGGUAAUGGCCCACCAAGACUAUUACAGGUACGGGCUCUGAGAGGAGUAGCCCGGAGAUGGGUACUGAGACACGGACCCAGGCCCUAUGGGGCGCAGCAGGCGAGAAAACUUUGCAAUGUGCGAAAGCACGACAAGGUUAAUCCGAGUGGUUUCUGCUAAAGAAACCUUUUGUCAGUCCUAGAAACACUGAUGAAUAAGGGGUGGGCAAGUUCUGGUGU